UACGGAGGGGGCUAGCGUUGUUCGGAAUUACUGGGCGUAAAGCGCGCGUAGGCGGACCUGCAAGUCGGGGGUGAAAGCCCGAGGCUCAACCUCGGAACUGCCUUCGAUACUGCGGGUCUCGAGUCCGGGAGAGGUGAGUGGAAUUCCUAGUGUAGAGGUGAAAUUCGUAGAUAUUAGGAAGAACACCAGUGGCGAAGGCGGCUCACUGGCCCGGUACUGACGCUGAUGCGCGAAAGCGUGGGGAGCAAACGGG
rnacentral:rRNA from 1 species